rnacentral:rRNA from 1 species
GCUUCCGUAAUAUGAGGCUUUGGCUUCGCGGCCGGCUGAAUAUUUUUUUCACCCAUGUCUUUUGCGCACUUGUUGUUUCCUGGGCGGGUUCGCCCGCCACCAGGACCAAACCAUAAACCUUUUUUUUUAAUGCAGUUGCAAUCAGCGUCAGUAAAAAACAAUGUAAUCAUUACAACUUUCAACAACGGAUCUCUUGGUUCUGGCAUCGAUGAAGAACGCAGCGAAAUGCGAUACGUAGUGUGAAUUGCAGAAUUCAGUGAAUCAUCGAAUCUUUGAACGCACAUUGCGCCCUUUGGUAUUCCAAAGGGCAUGCCUGUUCGAGCGUCAUUUGUACCUUCAAGCUUUGCUUGGUGUUGGGCGUUUUUUGUCUCCCUCUUGCUGGGAGACUCGCCUUAAAACGAUUGGCAGCCGGCCUACUGGUUUCGGAGCGCAGCACAUAUUUUGCACUCUGUGUCAGGAGAAAAGGACGGUAAUCCAUCAAGACUCUACAAAUUUUAACUUUUGACCUCGGAUCAGGUAGGGAUACCCGCUGAACUUAAGCAUAUCAAUAAGCGGAGGAA